UACGAAGGGGGCUAGCGUUGCUCGGAAUUACUGGGCGUAAAGCGCGCGUAGGCGGCUUUCUAAGUCGGGGGUGAAAUCCUGGAGCUCAACUCCAGAACUGCCUUCGAUACUGGAGAGCUCGAGUCCGGGAGAGGUGAGUGGAACUGCGAGUGUAGAGGUGAAAUUCGUAGAUAUUCGCAAGAACACCAGUGGCGAAGGCGGCUCACUGGCCCGAUACUGACGCUGAGGCACGAAAGCGUGGGGAGCAAACAGG
rnacentral:rRNA from 1 species